UUCGAAUAUCGGAGUUGUAAACUAACCACAACUGAACUAAGUGGUCUUAAUCUUUUUUUCAUUACGGAUAUUUUAAAUCGAAUUUGACACAAGGCACCGGCUCAUUUCACCGAAAUUCACCGGGCUUUAAAUCGUCUUAAAAAAAGAUCUGGCCUGUCUCUAUUAACGUUUGGGUUCAAAUCCCGUUGAACUCAUAUUUUGUAGCGGACUCUCAAUAUUUUUUUUCCUUUAUUUAUUCUUGCUAUUUUUUAUACUUUUUAUACUUCUAUGUGAGAAAACGCUUUGCAAGUAGUAUAAAAUAUUGCUAUUUUGAACUUGGCCCGAAGAGAUCCAGCUAAUCAUUCUGUGUUGAUUUCAUAUUGAAUUCUUUCACCGCGUUCACCGCCAUUCACCGCAUAAUAGUCUCCUACACCGCAUGAGAUAAGCAGGUCACAAUAAUCUACUAUUGUCUUUAAUUUCACAAAAAUUUCAGAUCGUCCCUGGUGGCUUAGUGGUAGUUCGUCUGGCCUGUCUCUAUUAACGUUUGGGUUCAAAUCACGUUGAACUCAUAUUUUGUAGCGGACUCACAAUAUUUUUUCCCCUUUAUAUAAUCUGGCUAUUUUUUACUCUUUUUAUAGUUCUAUGUGAGAAAUCGCUUUGCAAGUAGUAUAAAAUAUUGCUAUGUUGAACUUGGCCCGAAGAGAUCCAGCUAAUCAUUCUGUGUUGAUUUCAUAUUGAAUUCUUUCACCGCGUUCACCGCCAUUCACCGCAUAAUAGUCUCCUACACCGCAUGAGAUAAGCAGGUCACAACAAUCUACUAUUGUCUUUAAUUUCACAAAAAUUUCAGAUCGUCCCUGGUGGCGGCUUAGUGGUAGUUCGUCUGGCCUGUCUCUAUUAACGUUUGGGUUCAAAUCACGUUGAACUCAUAUUUUGUAGCGGACUCACAAUAUUUUUUCCCCUUUAUAUAAUCUGGCUAUUUUUUACUCUUUUUAUAGUUCUAUGUGAGAAAUCGCUUUGCAAGUAGUAUAAAAUAUUGCUAUGUUGAACUUGGCCCGAAGAGAUCCAGCAAAUCAUUCUGUGUUGAUUUCAUAUUGAAUUCUUUCACCGCGUUCACCGCCAUUCACCGCAUAAUAGUCUCCUACACCGCAUGAGAUAAGCAGGUCACAACAAUCUACUAUUGCCUUUAAUUUCACCAAAAUUUCAGAUCGUCCCUGGUGGCUUAGUGGUAGUUCGUCUGGCCUGU